ACAAAAUGUGGGAGGCACGGUAUGGAGCAUGAUUUAGCCUCUGCAUGUCUCAGGGGUUCUGUAAAUGGGUCACACUCUCCAUAUGAAGCCGACCACAUUUUCGGAUCAAGCAUAAAUGGGCAUUUAGAAAGCAAUAGCUGCAACACUGGUGUUUAAAAUGAAAAGGCACCUGAACCUGAAAAGGAAGCGCUUCGCGGUUACAAUGUAGUGUAAGGUAUCUGUAUGCGCCUGUAACGGUUGUCUUGGGAAGAAGGAAAGGACCAAAGUUUGGAGGAGAUCCAGAGCCAAUUCCUGGGGCGGUGCAGGUCAGGGUCACUGGUUCUCCCUCUGUCAGAGGAGGAGUCAACACUGAGGGCAGUAGUGGGCAGCCACAACUACCACCACCACCAACAGCAUCACCCUGGACCAUCGCCUUCAGUCCAGCAAAGAUAACAGGAGAGAAGGGACUAUGUGCUGUCAUUUCAUGCACCUUCAAUCAUGCAGAGAACUUCAAACCUACUGCAGCAAUAUGGUUAAAAUGUCCUAAAAAUGGCAAAUGUGAUCAGGAUGAAAAUAUAAUUAUAUUGAAACUCCCUCUGAAACUCCCUCUGAAGCUCAGGAGGGUUAUAAACAGAGAGUGUCUCUACUGGAGACCGAUCGGACAAAGAAGAACUGUAGUGUGAUCAUCAACGACAUCAGAGAGAACGACACUGGAGAGUAUCAAUUCAGACUGCUAAGUGCAUAUACAUACCCCAAGAAAGUGAAAAUCACAGUGAAAGGUACUUCAUUGCUAUUAUUACCAGUUACAGUGACAGACUAUUACUGUAGUUCAUUGUAUACAGUUCACCACUUGCCAAGUUCCAGCUCAACAUAUAUCUGAAAGAAAAUGGAUGUAGCAACUACAGAUUUCCCUUUUAAGUCUAUCAAAAGUGUGGAAGUUUGAGCAUGUGUCCAUUAGGCCUCUAUGGAUCUUUUUUUUUUAAAUCAGCAUGAAUUAGAUUGACCAAUAAAAGCCCACUUUUAUUCCAUAGGCUUGGAUCCUCACUAUUCAGCUUUUGCAAGAGCGCAUUUUUCACUGGCUGUCCACUGGUUUCAAAAACAGCUUAAACUUCCUGAAUUCAACCAUUAUAUGUUUCCAAUACACAUUUAGAUUUGUGAAAAGCCGUCCACACCAACCACAAUCCGUGCGGGGCAAAUAGCUGAAUGAGAGAGGAGCAGUGUGAUUCACGUCAAUGCGCUAUGUAGAUAUCGAUAAUAAGUCAUAUCCGUAUCGCCGUAGACUACACCACUGCUGUCAGCCUUACCUCCAAUAGUUUAUUCAUGUUGGAUAAUCUUUGGAUGCCGACAGCAGUCGCACCAUUGGAAGACAUAGCUUGGACUGUAACCUACAAAAGCCUAUUCCUGCUCUUUUCCCGCGAUUCAUCAAACACAUUUGGUGUGUCAUCAUAGUGGUCUCUAACUUGUAGUCAGACUCGCGCCUUUUCUCAUUGCUGAUUUGAAUGUCAUUGAGAAAACAGAGCAGUGUGAACCAUUUUUUUUGCAAACAUCCUUUCUGAAUUCAAUCAUCUUGUUUUUCAAAAGUAUCUGUAAUCUGAUUACAAUAAUCUUGCUGGUAAAAUGCACUUCCAUCCCUUCCAUGUAACGGAUUACAUAUAAUCCAUUACUCCCCAACCCUGCUCCUCCCCAACCCUGCUCCUCCCCAACCCUGCUACUCCCCAACCCUGCUCCUCCCCAACCCU